rnacentral:rRNA from 1 species
GAAAUUACGCCUACAUGAAGUUGGAAUUGCUAGUAAUGGCAGGUCAGCAUACUGCCGUGAAUACGUUCCCGGGCCUUGUACACACCGCCCGUCACACCAUGAGAGUUGGAGAUACCCGAAGCCUGUGAGCUAACUUUUUAAGAGGCAGCAGUCGAAGGUAGAAUCAAUGAUUGGGGUGAAGUCGUAACAAGGUACC